rnacentral:tRNA from 1 species
GGCCCCGUAGUUCAAUGGAUAGAACGGAAGUUUCCUAAACUUUAAAUGUAGGUUCGAUUCCUACCGGGGCUA